rnacentral:rRNA from 1 species
UACAGAGGGUGCGAGCGUUAAUCGGAAUUACUGGGCGUAAAGGGCGUGUAGGCGGCAAGGCAAGUCAGGUGUGAAAGCCCCGGGCUUAACUCGGGAAUUGCAUCUGAAACUGCUGUGCUUGAGUUCUGGAGGGGGUAGUGGAAUUCCCAGUGUAGCGGUGAAAUGCGUAGAUAUUGGGAGGAACACCUGCGGCGAAGGCGGCUACCUGGACAGAAACUGACGCUGAGGCGCGAAAGCUAGGGGAGCGAACGGG